UUCUUGCAGACGGAGGGGCUAGGGGCGGUUGGCCCAGAGGGACACCAUGUGAGUCCCUGCUAGGUCGGUCCCAUGCAAACAUCCGCGGCCGGCUGACGCUUGCUUCCGGGUUUGCGUUCCAGCAGCUGGAACACAACACAGAAGCUAUUAUCUGCUCCAGGCUCCAGCUAGCUGCCACUUCCGGGUGCCGUUAGACGGGAGCAGUGUCUGCAGCUGCAGCUGCUGGGCUCGUGUUAGUGGAAACAUGUGACAUGCACACCUGUUUUCAUUGCCAUUCGCUGUGUAGGGGCCGUUGUGGCCGGACAGAGCUGCCAGGGUGGUCAGAAGUGAAGCCAUACCUCAGCAGCGUCAGACAGUGUGCUGGGAGAUAAGAAUCGUCUGACCAUGGAGGACGAUCUGAUUGGAUAGUAUGGGGGCAGGUGGAAGGUGUACUGUACUGUGCCUUGCUGAACAGUGUUUGCAGGUGAAGCGGGAAAGGUCCCAUCCAGAGAGACCUAAGAGGAAUAUCUGGGAAUUUUCAACUGUAUAUAUCACCAAGUUGCGAAGUAGGACAAUGCUCCAGGAACCAGACAAGAUUAUCAUUAUUCAGACUGUCAGUUCUUUCUUAUUUAUGUUUUAUUAUCUCUCUAUCUCUCUCUCUCUCUCUCUCUCUCUCUCUCUCUCUC